AUGAACGCUGGCGGCGUGCCUAAUACAUGCAAGUCGAGCGAACAGACGAGGAGCUUGCUCCUCUGACGUUAGCGGCGGACGGGUGAGUAACACGUGGAUAACCUACCUAUAAGACUGGGAUAACUUCGGGAAACCGGAGCUAAUACCGGAUAAUAUAUUGAACCGCAUGGGUCAAUAGUGAAAGACGGUUUUGCUGUCACUUAUAGAUGGAUCCGCGCCGCAUUAGCUAGUUGGUAAGGUAACGGCUUACCAAGGCGACGAUGCGUAGCCGACCUGAGAGGGUGAUCGGCCACACUGGAACUGAGACACGGUCCAGACUCCUACGGGAGGCAGCAGUAGGGAAUCUUCCGCAAUGGGCGAAAGCCUGACGGAGCAACGCCGCGUGAGUGAUGAAGGUCUUCGGAUCGUAAAACUCUGUUAUUAGGGAAGAACAAAUGUGUAAGUAACUAUGCACGUCUUGACGGUACCUAAUCAGAAGGCCACGGCUAACUACGUG
rnacentral:rRNA from 1 species